rnacentral:tRNA from 1 species
CUUAGGAUGGCAGAGUCAGGUAUUAAUGCCGGAGGCCUAAGACCCCCAGUCAGGGGCUCAAAUCCCCUUCCUAAUA